CAGCAGCCGCGGGAAAACAGAGGGUGCGAGCGUUAAUCGGAUUUACUGGGCGUAAAGCGUGCGUAGGCGGCUAAUUGAGUCGGAUGUGAAAUCCCCGAGCUUAACUUGGGAAUUGCAUUCGAUACUGGUUAGCUAGAGUGUGGGAGAGGAUGGUAGAAUUCCAGGUGUAGCGGUGAAAUGCGUAGAGAUCUGGAGGAAUACCGAUGGCGAAGGCAGCCAUCUGGCCUAACACUGACGCUGAGGUACGAAAGCAUGGGGAGCAAACAGGAUUAGAUACCCCAGUAGUCCCUGUCUCUUAUAC
rnacentral:rRNA from 1 species